GAAAUAGAAGAAUUUUUCCAGCGCUCUGAUAAGGAUGGUGUUGUUGUGUUUUCUCUGGAGUCAGUUGUGAAAAACCUUACAGAAGAAAAGGUUUAUCUUAUCACUUCCGCCCUGGCUCAGAUUCCACAAAAAGGGUUUUAUAGAGAUUCAAAGGAAAGAAACCAGCUACACUGGGAACCAAUACUCAGCUCUACGUUUGGAUAUGCCAGAGCGAUCUAGGUCAUGCACAAACCAAAGCUUUUAUCACUCAUGGUGAUAUAAAUGGGGUCUAUGAAGCUAUUUACCAUGGAGUCCCUAUGGUGGGAGUUUCCUAUGUUUGGUGAUCAUCUUGACAACACCUCUCACAUGAAAGCCAAAGGAGCAGCUGUGCAGCUGAACAUGAAUACAAUUACAGGUACAGAUUUGCUUAGGUCUUUGAGAACAGGUAUCCCAAUUAUAAAGAGAAUGCUAUAAGGUUAUCAAAAAUUCACCAUGAUCGACCUGUAAAGCCCCUGGGUUGAGCAGUUUUCUGGAUCAAGUUUGUCAUGCACCACAAAGGAGCCAAGCACCCUCGGCUAGCUGCGCACAACCUCUCCUAGUACCAGUGCCACUCUUUGGGUGUGAUUGUGGUUUUGCUGGUCUGUGUGGCAACGGCUAUAUUUUUGGUCACAAAACUUUGUUUGAUUUCCUGUCGAACAUUUGGUAAAAUAGGAAAGAAGAAAAAGAG
rnacentral:lncRNA from 1 species